rnacentral:rRNA from 1 species
UACGUAGGGCGCAAGCGUGUCCGGAAUUAUUGGGCGUAAAGAGCUCGUAGGCGGUUUGUCGCGUCUGCUGUGAAAACCUAAGGCUCAACCUUGGGCUUGCAGUGGGUACGGGGCAGACUAGAGUGCGGGUAGGGGUGACUGGAAUUCCUGGUGUAGCGGUGGAAUGCGCAGAUAUCAGGGAGGGAACACCCGAUGGCGAAAGGCAGGU